rnacentral:rRNA from 1 species
GGAUGAACGCUGGCGGCGUGCCUAAUACAUGCAAGUCGAGCGAACAGACGAGGAGCUUGCUCCUCUGACGUUAGCGGCGGACGGGUGAGUAACACGUGGAUAACCUACCUAUAAGACUGGGAUAACUUCGGGAAACCGGAGCUAAUACCGGAUAAUAUAUUGAACCGCAUGGUUCAAUAGUGAAAGACGGUUUUGCUGUCACUUAUAGAUGGAUCCGCGCCGCAUUAGCUAGUUGGUAAGGUAACGGCUUACCAAGGCAACGAUGCGUAGCCGACCUGAGAGGGGGAUCGGCCACACUGGAACUGAGACACGGUCCAGACUCCUACGGGAGGCAGCAGUAGGGAAUCUUCCGCAAUGGGCGAAAGCCUGACGGAGAAACGCCGCGUGAGUGAUGAAGGUCUUCGGAUCGUAAAACUCUGUUAUUAGGGAAGAACAAAUGUGUAAGUAACUAUGCACGUCUUGACGGUACCUAAUCAGAAAGCCACGGCUAACUACGUG